GGGUUGCCAUGUACCAAGGCUGGCGAGUGUCCCUUGCAAGGACGUUGGGUGGGUUCGAUUCCCACGCGAUCCA
rnacentral:tRNA from 2 species